rnacentral:rRNA from 1 species
UGCCUAACACAUGCAAGUCAAGGGGGCGUUCGGGUAGCAAUACUUGGACGCAACCGGCGCACGGGUGAGUAAGACGCGGGUAAUCUUCCUUCGAGACCGGGACAACCUGCCGAAAGGCUGGCUAAUACCGGAUAAGACCACAGAGACUUCGGUCUUCGGGGUCAAAGAUCGCCUCUAUUUAUAAGCAAUCACUUGAAGAUGAGCUCGCGGCCCAUCAGCUAGUUGGUAGGGUAACGGCCUACCAAGGCUAUGACGGGUAGCUGGUCUGAGAGGACGACCAGCCACACUGGAACUGAAACACGGUCCAGACUCCUACGGGAGGCAGCAGUGGGGAAUAUUGCGCAAUGGGCGAAAGCCUGACGCGGCAACGCCGCGUGGGUGAUGAAGGCCUUCGGGUCGUAAAGCCC